rnacentral:lncRNA from 1 species
CCCCUCGUAGCAGUGGCAAACCAGGGGGCAGGGGCAGACUAGGCCGUGUGUGGGGAUUGCACGCCGCCGAUUUCGUGUCCUUGCAGCCUCCUUCUCAGUUCUCGCACACUGCCACACACACAGCUGACCUGCCGCUGCCGCUGCCACUGCCAGGAAGGUAGGGAGAGGCCAGGAUGCCCCGCGGCGGCUUCUCGGGGUCCCUCAGGUCGCCCAAGAUCGACGUCGUCAUCGACAUGGGGAACCCCUUCCUCAACCGCGCACCGUCGACGGCUUCCUCAAGAUCGGCGCCGUCGGCGCCUGCAAGGUGGCCGCCGAGGAGACCUUCGACUGCCUCCACAGGGGUGAGUACGUUCGCCUCUUCCUCCGUUCCUCGACCCCUUUAUUCGUUGUAUCCAGUCAUGCUGCAUUCCAUAGAGCCCAGUAACCUUGUUAGAUGCAAAAAAAAGUUUCGAUUUUGCGGAACUCAUGUCAGACAUUGAUACGGUGUUGCCCCCAAAACGUUUGGCCGUUGCGCUCCACUCUACGCAGAUAGAUAGAUUACUAACCAUGAUGUUGGAUUAUGGAUAAUGGACUGGAGUGGAAUCGCUCUGCCUCUGCAAGUGGAUUCAGAGAGCGAAACAAGGGGUGCAGACAUAACCCCAGACUAUAAUUUGUAGUGCAGCCUGAAUAUCACACACUCAGUCUUUAUUGAGUUUUUCUGUGCAGUUCUGUAACCUGCAUUUUACAUUCAGUCAUGAUUGAAUAUUUGAAUGACUCAAAUGGCGACGAAAAUAUCUGUUUUUGUUACUGAAGAUCCACUUCAUAUACACACUUGUACUGAAGAUCUUACUGAAUUUCUUACUGGUCAAAAUGGUACUUACCUCAAUAGAUCUUACUGGCAAAAUGGUACACCUCAAUAGAUCUCACUGAAGAUCGCCUCAACUUUGAAUUUAACCAAUGCUAUUUCAGAAUGAUAGCAGUAUUGUAUUCCUGUUGUUUACUGACAAGGAAAUCAUAUGCUUGCAUUUCUUUUGUGCUACAUUUUACUGGCAAUCAGAGAAGAAAUUGUUAUGACAAAACCUCUUCUGUUUGCAGGGGAUGUUUCAAAGCACAGGAUUGAACAUGCUGUAAGUCAUAUAUCCGCAACCUUUGCAUAUCUGAAUUUUUUAAAAACUGCUCUAGCUCCAGGCCUCAUUUCAAUUGGGGAUCUUAAAUAUCGUGAUCCAAAUGCCUAGCGAUGCCAGUUACGUGAUUCUGUUAUGACCGGCGUCCAGUAUCAAAGGAGGCUAAGCCACCAUCGGCCAGGGGUUUAGGCGCAGGAGUUAGGGGCUAACAGCCCAUAUUUAUCUUUAUUUGUUUAUUUUCAUAAUUGAAGCAAUUAUUCAUAUAUAGGAGUUGUAAUUCUUGUGGACAGAAUUAAGCAAGAGUAAAUCUUAUUACUCGGCUUCCCUUGGGAGCCGGGAGUUUGCUCUAGCCGUCGCCUCCGUUCUCUUCUUCCUCGCGCGACCACGGCGCCCGCCGCCGUGCCGCGCACCCAGCCCCCCAACACACAUACAACCUUCGCUCGACCAAGGGAAGGGUACAGGUCCGUAUCAACCUGGUAUCAGCCAUGUCGAUCCCACCCUCAGCCACCGUUGUUCCGCCUUCAUCCACAACGGCGCCGCCCGUCUCCUCCGCUCUGCCCCAGGCGCCCAUGUCGACAUCGGCCCUGGUGUUGACCUCUUCACAGCCGCUGGCGUAGGGCGCGCCAGGGGCGCCGCGCGCCGUCUUCACGCCCGAGCAAACGACAUCCACGAUCGUCGAACUCAGCCACGACUUGGCUGAGCUGCGGCUGACGAUGACCAUGCUGCAGCUUUACAACAAUUCGACGCCGCAAUUUGGCGCACCGCCGCAGCAGCUGCUCCUGACGCAGUCGUCCCCGUUGGUCGCUUUCCACCACUCGGCGCCGGUCUCCUACCCCUACGGGAUGCCCGCCGACGUCGGGUUUUGGACGACAACAACGCCUACUUCGUCGUCCGUUCUGAUCCACCAGCUCCGUUUUCCGUCAUCGCCGUCCCCAGCGGCCAACUGCUUUGGCUCGCCCCGCCGCUAGGGGAGGACCUCUAGCCGCGGCGCCCACGCCUACUGCGCCGGCACUAACCGGCACCGCUACACCCGCCCACACCUUCCGUCGCUUGACACCGGCGGAGAUGCUCGAGCGCCGUCACCAGGGACUUUGUUACAACUGCGACGAGCAGUAUGUGUGCGGCCACGUCUGCCCACGUGUCUUCUACCUGGAGUCCUCUGACUACAUCGACGACGACGUGUUCACCGCAACAGAGGACACCGCGGACGCCACUGUCGAGAGCUAGCGCCACCAGAUGGCGCUGCUGCUCAUGCUCUGGUUGUCUCCGUGUAUGCUCUUGCAGGGAUCCACACCUACCACACCAUGCUGCUGCCCGUCACCAUCAAUGGGGAAUGCCUACUCGCGCUGCUGGCUCCACCCACACCUUCCUCUAGGACACGGUCAUGCGCCACCUGGGGCUUGUUCCGCGUGGUGGCAACAACCUCCGUGUCACUAUCGCGAACGGGGAGCGUUUUCCGUGCAAGGGGAUCGCCCGAGAUAUGCUCGUCCUCAUCGGCGGUGAGUCCUUCGCCAUCACGUGUGUGGGGCUCGCCCUCGGCUGCUUCGACUUCAUCAUCAGCGUCGACUUCCUAGGGGCUUUGGGACCUCUUCUGUGGGACUUCGAGGACCUCACCGUCUCCUUCUAGCGAGGCGACCAGUGCGUCACAUGGCAGUGCGUGGGUCCCCCGGGUGCUUCUUCACACCAGCCGCGCCUGGCCGCGACCACGGCCGACCAGCAGCGGCCACUAUUGGACUAGCUCCUACAGCAGCACAUGGCCAUCUUCGACAAGCCUCGUGGCCUCUCGCUCGUGCGCUCCUACGACCACCGCUUCCACCUCCUACCGGGGACCGCGCCGGUGGUGGUGCGGCCCUACCGAUACCCGCAGCUCUAGAAGGACAAGCUGGAGCGGCAAUGUGCCGCCAUGUUGGAGCAGGGCAUUAUUCGGCCGAGCACGUCACCAUUCUCCGCCCCUGUGCUGCUCGUCAAGAAGUCCGACGGGUCCUGGCGCUUCUGCAUCGACUACCGCGUGCUCAACGACAGGAUGUCCAAGGACAAGUUGCCGAUCCCGGUGGUCGACGAGCUCCGCGGGGCACGUUUCUUCACCAAGCUGGACCUCCGCUCGGGCUAUCGCUAAGUGCGCAUGCACCCGGCGGCCAUCGAGAAGACCGCUUUCCGCACCCACCACGACCACUUCGAGUUCUUGGUGAUGCCGUUUGGGCUGUCCAACGCUCCGGCAACGUUCCAAGCCCUGAUGAACGACGUCCUCUAGCCUUUUCUUCGCGGGUUCGUGCUGGUAUUCUUCGAUGACAUCUUGAUCUACAACUCAUUGUGGUCCAAGCACCUCCAGCACGUCGUCCUCGUCUUCUCCGCUUUGAGGGCUCACGGCCUCUACCUCAAGAGGUCCAAGUGCUCCUUUGGGACACUCUCCGUCGACUACCUCAGGCACGUCAUCUCUGCUGAUGGCGUCGCUAUGGACAGUGACAAGGUGGCUGUGGUCGCCGCGUUCACCUCGGGGCGUCUUUGGUUUUCUCGGCCUUGCGGGCUACUACUGCAAGUUCAUCCGCGACUUCGGCUCCAUCGUAGCACCACUCAAUCGUCUCCUGCGCAAGGAGGCGUUUGCUUGGACGUCGGAAGCGCGGCGGCCUACGACGCCCUCAAGAGGGCCUUGUCAUCAGCCCCUGUUUUGCAGAUGCUGGAUUUCACUCGUGAGUUCGUCGUCAACUGCGACGCCUCAGGCGCAGGCGUUGGCGCUGUUCUCCACCAGGGGUCGGGUCCCCUAGCAUUCUUCAGCAGACCCUUCGUCACCCGCCACAUCAAGCUCGCGGCCUAUGAGCGCGAUCUCAUCGGGCUAGUGCAGGCGGUCCGGCAUUGGCGGCCGUACCUAUGGGGACGUCGUUUCCUCGUCCGCACCGACCACUACAGCUUGAAGUUUUUGCUCGACCAGCGCCUUUCCACUGUUCCGCAACACCACUGGGUUAGCAAGCUGCUCAGGUUUGACUUCGCGGUGGAAUACCGCCCCGGCCGACUCAACUCGGUGACGGAUGCGCUGUCCCGACGCGACGAGGACGCAGUUACAGAACUUGCCUUGUCCGGGCCAUCCUUCGCCCUCUACGAUGACAUUCGGGCAGCCACUCGGGAGGACCCGGUGGCACGCGGCCUCCUGCAGCAGCAGGCCGCGGGGACGCUGGAGGCGCCCUGGACCAUCGCGGAUUGGUUCCUCCUUCGUGGCAAACGCGUCUACGUUCCCGACCUGCAGGACUUGUGCCAUCAGGUGGUGACCCUGGCACACACUACAGGGCAUGAGGGCGUCCACAAGACCCUCUUGCGUCUGCGCAAUGAUUUCUACAUCCCCAACGACCGCAAGCUUGUGCAAGACUACGUCUGCACGUGUGAUGUGUGCCAGCGCAACAAGACGCCCAUGACACAGCCGGCCGGUUUACUACAGCCCUUGGAUGUGCCUUCCCAAGUUUGGACCGACACCUCCAUGGAUUUCAUCGAUGCCCUUCCCAAGGUCCAUGGCAAGUCGGUCAUCUUGACGGUGGUGGACCGCUUCUCCAAGAAUGCGCACUUCAUCACUCUCAGCCACCCCUACACGGCCGCGUCGGUGGCCCGUGCUUUCUUCGAGGGGAUUGUGCGGCUUCAUGGCUUUCCCACCUCCAUUGUAGUGACCGCAAUCCAGUUUUCACUAGCCACUUGUGGAGGGAUUUGUUUCGCCUUGCAGGUGUGAAACAGCGGCUCAGCACGGCCUUUCACCCUCAGACGGAUGGCCAGUCUGAGGUUGUCAACAAGGUGAUCGCCAUGUACUUGCGUUGUGCGACCGACGACCGGCCGCGCUCAUGGGUCGACUGGCUACCGUGGGCGGAAUACUGCUACAACACGUCGUACCACACGGCACUUCGGGCGACUCCAUUCGAGAUUGUCUACGGUGGCCCACCACCUCCCCUUUUGCCUCACCAAGAGGGGGCGGCUGAGACGGAGGAUGCAGACGUCAUGCUCCGGGACCGCGACGUGUUCCUGGUCGAGGUCCGGGAGCGCCUCCUCCAGGCACAGCAACACGCCAAGGAGCGCUAUGACGAGCACCAUCGGGCUGUGGACAUUGCUGUGGGCGAUUGGGUGCUGCUCCGACUUCUUCACCGCCCCACACACACGCUCGCGACGCCAGCCAAGGGCAAGCUUCGUCCUCGUUAUGUUGGUCCGUUCUGUGUGCUGGAACGCAUUGGGUCGGUGGCCUAUCGUCUACAGCUGCCCGAGACUACACGCCUCCAUAAUGUUUUCCACAUCGGGCUACUCAAGCAGUGGCGUGGUGAACCUCCUGUGACGCCGGCGGUGGUGCCACCAGUCUUCGAGGGGCGCCUGCUUCCUGCCCCGGAGAAGGUUCUGUGCGCGCAACUACGCCGCGAACAGUGGCAGCUGUUGGUCAAAUGGCGCGGCCUUCCGGAUGAUGCUACGACAUGGGAAGCUCUCGACGACUUCAAAGCCCUAUACCCCGAUGUCCAGCUCGAGGACGAGCUGUUUGUCGACGCGGGGAGAGAUGUUAUGACCGGCGUCCAGUAUCAAAGGAGGAGCCGGCCCAUUAGUGGCUAAAGCCACCAUCGGCCAGGGGUUUAGGCGCAGGAGUUAGGGGCUAACAGCCCAUAUUUAUCUUUAUUUGUUUAUUUCCAUAAUUGAAGCAAUUAUUCAUAUAUAGGAGUUGUAAUUCUUGUGGACAGAAUUAAGCAAGAGUAAAUCUUAUUACUCGGCUUCCCUUGGGAGCCGGGAGUUUGCCCUAGCCAUCGCCUCCGUUCUCUUCUUCCUCGCGCGACCACGGCGCCCCGCCACCGUGCCGCGCACCCAGCCCCCCAACACACGUACAACCUUCGCUCGACCAAGGGAAGGGUACAGGUCCCUAUCAGAUUCUUUGCUUGCAGUUCCUAAAUGUGGAUCGUGAUUUACUUGACAUUCCAAAAACACAUGUCAUGACUUAUGAAUACUGCAGAUCUCUAGUUGUAGUCUCAGUCUAGUGUACUGUCAUCUCAGGAAUUCUGUGUUACUGGAAAUGUUGAACUAAACCCCUGCACCUCUUUUGCAUCUUGCAUCAUGCAUGCUUGUGUAUCCCUGAAAAAUCUUUGAGCAACUUCUGGUCUACACAUCAAACUGAUACUAUGUAUGCAGCUGAAGAAAAUGUACAGGGAGGGCGCAUACUGGGGUAACUAAUUGACCAAUUUGUGCCUUUUUGUCGCUUCAAACCCACAUAAUUUGUUUUGGCUUCUUUCCCUUCUUCAUUUAUACUCUGACUAAUGUACAAUAGUAUAAGUGCGUGAUAUUGUUGUAUUAUCGUGUAAGAUGCUAUUAGUCAUAUUAUUGUAAGACAAGCACUUCAAAGUUUUUGUGGAGCUACUUCUCAUAUGCAAUGAGGUGGUUGUAUAGGGCAACAGAGAAAGUUACAUAGAAAAUGACAAACCCUUUCACGACACAUAGUCAUUUCAUAUUUAUUUUACUUUGAGCCAAUUGUGAAUUCGUGAAUCUCGAGAUAUGCCGGCUCAGUACUUCAGAUGUGUUCAUAGGGUAGGGUUUGUGUAAAUAUGAUACGUAUUGUGAGCGUCUGUGUUGUAAUAUAUAAUUUUAGAAAAAAAAGGGACCAAGCUAGUGCAAAUGAUUUCUACCUCCAUGGAUCUUAUUUCUGGGUUCCCCCUGUUUUUACUGUAAUUUUUAAAUGUUGCUCUCCUCUUUCUAAUCCAGUAUAAGUACUACCUAGCUACUUUGUGUUUACAUGUUGCUCUCCUUCAAACUGGCAUCAGAUAAUUUGUGUUUACUCGUUGGGGGAGACAGGAGACACUAGCUCCUGCAUUUGUGUAGCCCGGCACACGUAGCUUCUCAGAGAUGCAUACGUGGCUCUGGACACAUCCAAAGUGAUUGCGCUACUCUUGAAUGCAUAUUCAGGCUUGACACCAACACAGUGAUCCAUCACUUACUAUGGGCCGUAGCCAGGGACCAAGUAGACCUGUUAAACAUGUUUACAUAGCAAUGAUAGUGUUUUUGAAUUUUUCUAGUUUUUUUAAAAUCUAUUUUUCUAGAGCUAAAUUUAUUUUUUGAAGCGGAGAUCUAAGUAUUUUAUGUAGAUUCUCUAUAAUCUUUUUUUUAAGAAUUUUAAAUGCUUAGAGACAUUGGUACCAAUUUUUUAACUAAAAAGGAUAAACCCAAUUUAUCCUCUCUGACGCCAUGUUAACAAUUGCUGUUCAAAACCAUCCAGAGUCGAAACAAACAAUUUUAAAAGUUAAGGAGACCUAAAAAUCUGAUCUUAAAUCUUUCUCUAAUAUAUAAUUAUAAAAAUUUCAGUCCACCAGGUAUCUUUCUUUCCGCCAAUAUUCUAUUUCCCGUGGGUGGCUGCCCAGGACUCGUCCGACAAGGAGGCAGGGCAGGAGUGCCCUGGCCGUGGUCCGACGUGCCAUGGCGAGGCGGGGCUCUCGCAACGCAGCAUCGCACAGAAGAGGAGAACGGGCGGCUGCGCUCGGGUGCCCUUCUGCUCACGGUCGACGAGUGCGAGCCAGAGCACGCCGUGGUGGUGGCGGCUCUAUUGUGGCGCGAUUGAGGAGGCUAGCUCGUCCGUGAUGCCAGCAGACGGAGGCAGAGAGGUCGCAGUUGCCGUGGAUUGCGACGCGGUGAGGCCCUAGUGAUGGGCGGACGCACUCCUGAAGUAGGGUCGCGGUGGUGGAGUUGCCGGUGUUGUGGCACGAUCAGGUGCUCGGCGGAUCAGAAGGGGAGGAGAGGAGUGGCAGAGGUGCUCAGCGAAGCUCGUCGCGACCAUAGCAGGGAGAGGAAAGGAGAAGGCGUGGUGGCGGCGGCGCUGAGGAGCUCCAAAAGAUGGGGGCGACGGCGGCCAUGGCUUAAAUAGUGCGCAGCACCUAGGGUUUGAGGAGCUCCGUUCAUCCUCGUCGUCAUGCCGUAGCGGGGCACGUGGCGCACAUCGAAGGGCAAGCAGGCAGGGUGUGCGCGGCUCGGCCUCCGAGCAGCGGCGGUGGCGCUGGCUCCUAGGAGCAGAGCACAUUAAGGUUAAGGGAUGGGCGCCGGCGGCUUGGGCCGCGCAUGGAUUCUGGGUCGCUGAGCUGGGCCGAGGGUGGACGCGGGGUGAAGUGGGCCAGCCUCGCAGCUGGGCUGCGCGGGGCACUGCACGACUAGGCCAGGAGGAGAAGUGGGCCACACGCGCGUAGGCUUGGGCCGUGGGAAGGAGGAGGUUAGCCGGGCCUGGCGGGGAAGAGGGAGGUGGGCGGGCGAAUGGGGGGAGGGCAGGCCGGGCAGGAAAAACGGAAUAUGCAUGAUAUGUCUAGUUUUGAAUAAAUCUUGAACACAAAAUAUGUUGUAUCUCCCGUUGCAACAUAUGGGCAUUUUUGUUAGUUUUUAUAAAGCAAAAACCCACUAACCUAUUUUUCUUAUUUCAUCAGCUAGCAUAGUCUCUACCGUCCAUACCAAACAGGCAAUAUUAAUAUACUACUCCAUCCUACGUCUACAGUAGAGUUUGAGUGCUUCUUCUAUGAACUGCCCGAUCCGUUCCAAGAUGACAGAAGCCAAUGAUCAAGGCGGAUCCUUCUCUGCAAAAUUCCACAGCAGCCGGCAGCCAGGCAUACAUCGCAAACUUCUGUCAUCCUCAGUUUCAAAGCUUCCUCUCAAUUCUUGCUGAGCCCCAUCCUAUACAUUUUUGUUAAUUUUUAAGUAGAACGAUUUGUUUUUAAUUUUUUACUUGCUAUUUAUCCAGUGUUUCUUUUAGUUUCUGCUGACAUGAACCUCUGACAUACAUCAUAUACGUUGUAUAGUAACUAAAUAGUAUUUUUCUCUGACGCUCUUUAUCAUGUUUGAUGAGAAACAUCAUCUCGAUUUCUACUUGCUCUCAACUGUUGGUGUCCCACAUCCCUAUAUGAGUUUUUUUUUGUAGAAUGUAUGGGUCGAUUCCGUUGCAGUUGCGUGAUGUACGUACACAUGCUAUUGUGCAAAUUAUAAAUAAUGUCUUUCGCACUUCCUACCCUAAUGCAUUUGUCGUUCACAAAAUACAAUUUCUUAAACUCCUGUAGCAACACGUGAGGUAUUCACCUAGUUUUAUAAAAAGGGGAUCGGACAAUCCUUUGUCAAAAUUAAAAUAUACAUGCAAACCACAUAUGCCACUUCAUAAAACAGCUACGAUAUCAAAGACAGCAAAUAUAUCAAACUCUGUACUCAUGUGCGUUUGAUAUUUCAGUUCCCUUACUCACAAACAAGAAAAAAAAUGGAUUGGUCUGAACCGAAAGAAAAUAUAAAAGCACUAGCUAGCCACGCCAUUUGAGCGGGCCACCUUGCUAGUUACUCCCUCCAUCGUCGUUUGACUUUUUUUUACCUCAAGUUUGACCACUCGUCUUAUUCAAAAAAUUUAUACAAAUAUAGUCAAAUUUAAGUCAUUCUUGAAGAACUUCUAUUAAUAAACCAAUACACAACAAAAAAAAAGUGAUAUUUUGUACAAAACUUUGAAUAAAACGAGUGGUCAAACUUGAUAUUAAAAAAGUCAAACGACUUACAAUUUACAAUUUAGAAUGGAUUGAGUAUAUAUGAACGUAAGUUGAUGGACAUGACAAUAUAUUAUAACUAAAAAUUACAAUGCAUCGGUACCAACGGUUGCAUUUGCCGUAUUCACGACGAAAUCGAUUACCACAAGAGGAAUGUGACUGACAAGGUGCCAGUCGGGCCCUGCCCCUCGCUUGUAACGCUCCGCCAAACCAGGGCAACCAUAAAUGCGCAAUUCCUCAAGAGCAGUUAGGCGUUGUAUGGAUUGGGGCAAGUAUUGAAGGGCAGGGGAAUGCUUGAUAUAAAGCGAACGAAGCGCAGAGAGUUGUCCAAUCCACUCUGGCAGCACCGUCAGUGAUGACAGUUCGAGAUGUUCAAGCGAGGUGAGGUGCUGAAUCGCCUCUGGGAACUGCUUCAAAUCGCCCAAUCCCAAUCCAAGGUGUCGCAGAGAGUGCAGUUCUCCAAGCCAGUCAGACAACGUGCCAACGGCGGGGCAUUCGUAGAUGCGGAGACGCUCGAGAGAGGUGAGCUUCCGCAUGCUCUCUGGUAACUGUGUCAGGUCAUUGCACCUGUAAAUACACAACUCUUUCAGCUCAGUGAGGUGCUGCAGCAGUUCCCAGCCAGAUGGUGAUCCUGUAACGUUGCUUAGCCCUAGACUCUUGAGGCGAGGGACCAACGCAUGCAUGCUGGGCAGCUGAUGGGAGAACCUUCCUGUGGAUAGCAGCUGCCCAUUGAUUCUGUUUAAAGACAUAUGCACCAACGAUGGUGGAAAGUAGGGGCUCACAUUUAAUUUCGGGCAGCCAUAUAUUUCUAGACUGGACAGGACAGGGAAAAGAUGUUGUGCUGCCAAUUCUUUCUCCCCAGUUUCAAAACCACUUGAUGUAGUCCACAGCUCCUCUAAAUUAGGCAUUUCCGCCAGAACAAGGUACUUCAGUGAAGGCAACUCAACAAAUCCUCUCAUAUGCCUCAAGUUUGGAAAUCUUUUUACCGUUAACCAAGUUAAACAAAGGAAAUGGGAUGCGAUAGUUUGCUUCAGCAUUAUACCACCUUCAAAAUAUGAAGAAUCAUUUUGCUUCAUCAUCCAUCCUGGCAGGCAGGGGCCUCUGUAAUUAUAGAUAUCCAAGCUCUCAAUUUGCGAUGGUGGUUCAAGAGCGUUCAGCACACCCCAAUCAUGUUCCAUAUCUGACACCAACUCUUCUUCAGAAUCACUUAGAGACCAGUUCAGCUCCAAGUUUUGUAUGUGACUCUUCCGCUUCAAGCAAGCCUUCUCUGCAUCACUUGGAUCCUUCAAAUACUUAAGGUUGGUAAUUUCCAAGCGACCACCUAUCAUAUCAAGGUUUUCUAGCUCUGAGAUCCUCGCAUCAUCUGCACCACACCCAACAACAAACAAUCCCAGCUCUCUUAAACGGGUCAGCUGUCCCAACCCUGUUGGUAAGCAGCAGAGUUUACUACAAUGCUUUAUGUUCAAAACUGCGAGCCUUUUCAAGUUUGCUAUGCCCUUAGGCAACUCCCGUAGCUCAUUGCAUCCCUCAAGGUUAAUACAUUCCAGAGUAUCGAUCGAUGUAACCCAUUGAGGUAGCAUGGUAACUUUGGUUUCAGAAAGGUUCAGAGUACGCAAUGUAGGACAGGAUAAUGUGCUUGGCAGGUCUUGCAAAUCCGUACAACCAUGAAAGUUAAUAGUUCGCAAGUUUUUGAACUCCCCAAUGAUGUCUGAUGGUAGUUGUUGCAGAGAUGAACAGUACUCUAUAUCAAGUACACAUAGGUUUCCAAUUCUACCUAAAGAGCUUGGUAUCUCUCGGAGCUUGCUGCAGGCAUAUAGUUGCAAGGACUGAAGAACAUAACAGUCACCAAUGGACUGAGGCAAACUCUCAAGAUCAGUAACCCAACGCAACUCUAGAGUCCUUAGCUUCCGAAGCGUUCCAACAGACUCAGGUAAUGUCACGAAACCUUUGCAGUCAACAAAAUUGAGUGACUGCAAGUUCCAAAACCUCGAGAUAGCUUCCGGAACUGUUGUACAACUAACAUUAUGGAUUUCAAGAUACCCAAGAUACUCAAACUUUAAUAUGAAUAGUGACAACGGAGUAUCAGUUGCAUAGUCCAAAACAACACUGCGCAUACAGCAACUACUCUUCACUGUGGUAUCAAAAGAUGUCUUACUGUCAGAGAUAUAUAGAGCACGGACCUUGUCAAAUACGCCCUUGUCAACAUUCUCAGUGAAUGAAGUCAAAGAUAAAUAUCUAUACCUAUGAGUAAAUUCUUCUGUUGUAUGAAUUGGUACACAAGUCACCAGCUCAUCCUUUAGUAUCUGCCGAGUGAGAUCAUGGAUCAAAUCGUGCAUGGUGUAUAUAUCAGUAUUCCAGCUCCCAUAAACUUCCUGAAGAAAUCUGACUUUUACAAGAGAAUCUAAGUAGUCUCUUCCGACAUCUUCGGGUUGCUCUCCAUUCAUUGCAUUGAUGAAUCCAUGAGCUAUCCAUUGGGCAAUCAAACGAUCUUUCCAGAUUCCAUAGCCCUUCGGGAAUAUGGAGCAAAACGUAAAACACUGCUUCAGUUCAUCUGCCAAAUGAAUAUAGCUCAACUUCAAGGAUGCAAACACUCUGUCUUUUAUACUCUGAACCUUCCAUAAAUUAUUCUCUCUUAUGGCCCUCCACGUACUUAUUUGCUUCUUGUCACGAAGGACUGCUCCAAGAGUUUGAAUUGCUAACGGCACCCCACCACAUCCCUUGAUAAUCUCUUUUCCGACUUGUACCUCAUCGGAGCUCAAUUCUUGCUCUGCCAACCCAGAACCCUUCAGGAAUAAGUUCCAACUCUCAGACUCUGAUAAGAAUGCCAACUCAAAUGUAUAUCUUGAUUCCACAGCUUGUGCAACCUUUCGAUCACGAGUGGUUAAAACAAUCCUUGUUUCAGGUGCGCCACAUUUUAGCUGCACCAUGAACUGUUCCCAGUCAUGUCUGUCCUCAUGCCAAGCAUCAUCAAGGAUAAGAAGAAACUUCUUAUUGCUCAACUUCUCGGAGAUUUUUUGGACCAUGUGCUGUGGGGGAUGACGAUCUGAAUUAUCUCCAACAAUCGUUUCAAAUAGCUUGCCGAUGAGCUUCUGAACAUCAAACUCUUGAGACACAUGGACCCAGAAUAUUUCACCUCCAAAGUGCUCCUUUAUCUUGACGUCAUGACAAAUGUGUUUCGCCAAAGUAGUUUUGCCUGACCCCCCUAAUCCGAUGAUAGAAACUAUCAUGUUGUUCUCUCCAGCAUUACAUUCUACAAGCUUAGAUAUGAUUUCAUCCUUUUCUUGAUCCCUAAGGGGUAUUUUGGACUCUGGAACCUUGCUCAACCAGGUCAUCUCUCCAACUGUCUUGUACCUAGCACCAACAUGUUGAUCCCUUGUUGGAACUAAAGUAUUGAAAUCACUUCUUUGCUUGACGAUUGCAGCAAAUCUAACCUUGAUUGCCUUGAUCUUAUGAGCCAUCUUGUAUCGGAAUGCAAAUGACUUUGGUUUUGCACAGAAGCAACCGGCUAUACCACUCUUGUCAUCAUCUCUUUCCAUCUUCUGUUUCUCAGCUUCAAGCUGGACUUCUUGUAGUAUAUCGUCAAUGUCAUAAGCCACAUCUUUCAAUUUUAUCACCCAGUGAGACUGUGUCUCACUCUGUAUUGCUCUGUCAUACGCUGCCGACAGCCAGCCUGUAAUGUCUGCGUGUAUAUCCUGGAGCUGGCAGAGAUCUCUUUUUACACCGGCUAUGGCAGCAAACUCAGUGGCUAACAGUGAAACUAGCUUGUCACCUGCAGCCUUCAACACUCCAGAUGCUAAAGCAGCCUCCAUCCCACUCAUUAUGUCAAAGAAACUGUUGCCUAAACCCCUGCAGAUGAAAUUGAAAAACAAGCGGUUAGAUUGAGUUUCGCAAAUCCAAAACUAGUUAGGUGGCAGCAGUAAUGUUUCUUAGGAAAAAUAACUUUUUAGGAAAUGUGGCGGCAGAAAUGUUCCAAUAAUAAUUCUCAACUCUGGAAUAAAUUAACGGCCGACAAAAUAUCUGAGAGUUACAGGCCACGCCGCCGCCCGGUCCAGACGCGGCGGCCAUGUCCUCUCUCUAGCGCCAGGCCAGCUGCAGCACCCUGCUGCCAUGCAGCCUGCCCUAGGGGGCUGUUGUUCCUCCCAUCUAAUCCCCUCUGACUCCCCCAAUCUACCCUCUAAUUAAGUGAAGUCACCCCAGAUGGGACAUGUACAACAUGAGUGAUUUGCAGAUUAUAUGUUUCGAACGAAAUGGACAAAUAUUGUCCGUAUCGGCUAAAUAUCUUAUAUGGAUAACACAAAAAGUCAUUUGGAUGCUGGAAAAUAGAUCUACUAGACCGAUCGGCGUGAAAACAAAUGGAAAAUUAAUUUGCAUACCAGGUGAACAAGGACACACACAGCAGAAGCAGCAGAGCACCGACAGUAUGACACUUUGAUGCAACCAGAUAAGGGGCUUUUUGUUCUUCUUCUUGUGAAAGAGGUGAAGGGAAUCAGUAUGCUUGACGCUCACUGGGAUUGACACAAAAAAAAAAGUAUGAGUUGGUCAUCGAAGAAAUUCUAGGAUUAACAGAAAAAAAACGUGAGUUGGUGAUUGAAGAAAAUGACCAGGGGAGAAAGCGGGAGGAGAUGUGAGGAAUUAGAUUGUGCGUGUUGUGUUAGGCUUAAACCAAAGCAGAUUAAGUACCUAAACUCAACAACUGCGGCGAGGCUACAACCCAACGAGAGAGAGGCCUGCAGAUCUGAAAGGCAGGUAGGUGAUGAAGAAAAUGAGCAGGUGGUUGAACCCAACGAGAAGGAGAAACAGGAUUCAGGCAAAGGUCAUCCUCAUUACCUCGGUCGCGUCGGCGGCGGCGACGACGAGAGGCCUCCCGCCCCUAGUCGGGUUGUGCGCGGAGGUCGAUGGUCAGUGAACUCACUGCUCACUUCUCACGCGCAUGGAGACUCCACGGAGACGAACGAAGAGAGGAUUGCGACUGAGCACCGGACGAUGCCUGCUUUGUGAGUUGGGUUUGUGAGUUGGGUGGUGGACCCCGGCAGCCACUGUGAGAGCACGAUUGCUUUUCGCCUCCCAGAAAGCGCGUGGCAAGAGCAUCCACUACAGUGGAUCCAGAAAAUACAUCCUCAUUCCCUACAAAGUGUUAGGCCUUACCUAGUUUAGUUCCAUUUUUUUUAAAAUUGUAUUUGACAAAUAUUGUUAGGUUCAAAAGAUUUAUCUCGUAAAUUAUAUUUAAAUGGUGUAAUUAGUUAUUUUUUAUCUAUAUUUAGUGUUUCAUGUAUGUACCGCAAGAUUUGAUGUGAUAUAAAUCUAAAAAAUUUUGCAAAACUUUUUGUGAGUAGUUCACCUAAAAACCAAAAACUUUUCAAGAUUCCUCGUUAUAUUGAAUCUUGUGGAACAUAAAAUAUAGAUUAAAAAAGUAAUUAAUUGUACAGUUUAGGCCUUAUUUAGAUCCAAAAAGUUUUUGGAUUUUGACACCGUAGCACUUUUAUUUUUAUUUGAAAAACAUUAUCCAAUAAUGGAGUAACUAGAAUUAAAAGAUUCGUCUCGUGAUUUACAGGCAAAAUGUGCAAUUAGUUUUUGUUUUCAUCUAUAUUUAAUGCUUAAAGCAUGUGCCGCAAGAUUCGAUAUGACAGAGAAUCUUGAAAAGUUUUUGGUUGUUUGGGUGAACUAAAUAAAGCCUUAGCUGUAAUUUGUGAGACGAAUCUUUUGAGUCUAAUUAGUCCAUGGUUGGACAAUAAUUGUCAAAUAAAAAUAAAAGUAUUACAGUACCUACAAACUUUUCACCUUUCAACUAAACGGCCUUACAAAUAAUAAAAGGGGUUAAUUAAGGAAGAAAAAUAAGCUCUAACAUGUUCUCUUUCUAGUACUCUUUCUUGAACUUUUUUUUCAAUCUCCCAAAAUCUUCCUCUCCCUUAAACUUUCCAUCAGUGUGAUUGAUCCACCAAAAAAAUCCAUGCGAACUGCAAAAAGAUAUUUAUCUUCCUCUCUCACAAUAAUUAUCUCUUUUGGUGUGCCUUGAGGCCCCUUCUUACUUACUUCUGCACUUUUUUUGUCUCUUUUUUAAACUUCUUUAUUUCAAUAAAAUCCCUGUGGGGGCUGAGACCCCUUCAGUUUCCUAAAAAAAACCCAAAUAAAUCUUGCCUAUUUUUCAAACCUAGCUUCUAAUUACGUCAACUCAAUUUUAUACUUUCAAAGUUAUCUCAUAGAUAGACAACUAAAAGAAUUAACGAUAGCAAAAUACUUCAAAUCCUUACAUGUAUACUUUAUUUAUUGACAAUAGCUAGUUCAUCAGUUGUUCAUCAAUUGUUCAUCCAAUGUGCAUCUGGUUAGUCUCACUGAGUUGAUGUGGUGUUUGGUUGCUUUGCGUGAGAACAUAUGUUGCAAGAUACUCCUAUAAAUUAGGCAAUAAACAUAAUCACGAUAUUUUUUAUACAUGCAACUAUCUUUUAUUGCUCUUGAUUUAUUAUAUUAUUAUCCCUUAAUAUUUUUUUAAAAGAAAUACACUAAUAUCAAUUAAGACAUGCUAGUCGUGCACUGGUAAUGUCAUUAUCUAGAUAACUGCUGUCAACCGAUAGCCUGGAGAAGAACCCAAAAAAAAUCUACUCCCUCCAUCCCAAAUUAUAAAAAUAUUAAACAAGGCCUUAACAAAUUCUGGAUACAAACAAUGCUCAGUUCGAACUCAUCUGGCAGGAGGAUGGUGUGCUACCAGCUGAUGAGUAGUGGGAUCCUAACGUGGGUGGUGUCCUGCCAAGUGCCAACACAUAAGCCGUGCUCAUUCUGGACCACACGCGACGCGAUCCCUCGUUUUGUCCGCGAUCGUUCAAUUCGUUCGUGUCCCUGGCGCUGGCGGCCUGAUGAUGAUCCAACAGCAGUGCCAGUACAGCACACCAACGCCAACGUACGCCGAGGAAGAAGACCAAUCCAUCCAUGGAGUCGCACGCACGGGCCUCACGAGAGGAGAGGAAGAUGAGAGACCAUGACCUGUGGCCCCUAGUAGCAGUGGCAAACCAGGGGGCAGGGGCAGACUAGGCCGUGUGGGGAUUGCACGCCGCCGAUUUCGUGUCCUUGCAGCCACCGUCCGCCACCGUCCAAUCUCCGCUUCUUUAUCUUCUCCGAGGUGAGAGCAGGGAGCCCAGGCGAUCCUCCUUCUCAGUUCUCACACACUGCCACAUACACACACAGCUGACCUGCCGCUGCCGCUGCCACUGCCAGGAAGGUAGGCCACUGCCAGGAUGCCCCGCGGCGGCUUCUCGGGGUCACUCAGGUCGCCCAAGAUCGACGUCGUCAUCGACAUGGGGAACCCCUUCCUCAACCGCACCGUCGACGGCUUCCUCAAGAUCGGCGCCUGCAAGGUGGCCGCCGAGGAGACCUUCGACUGCCUCCACAGGGGUGAGUGCGCGCGUCUCUCUGCCUCUGCUGCUAUAACAUCUUUUACUAUAUUUACAUUGAGUUUGAUCGAGCUGUGUUGACCUUUAGGAGCUUUUCAUGUGGUUAAAUUAAGAUAUUCACUUGCACACAUCUACCACAGCAUUCAUCAUCAAUCAUUAAAAUUGCUAAAAAUAUUAUCACUCACUGUCCCAAGUAUUGUUAUUCUCUCUCUAAAAAGAUUCAAUGCAGAAGAGGCAUGGGUUAUGCAAAAAUACGCGAGGAAAUAAAAAGAGGCAAGUGCCCGGAUCCUCGAAAAAGAAAGAAAAAGAGUGAGACGAGAGGUAAAAAUGGACAAGUGUCCGAAAUAGAAUUAGGGGUACAAAGAUGCCCACUUGAGCGGAAAAAAUGGACAAGUGUCCGACAGUAGAAUUAGGGGUAUCUACUACCCACCUGAAAAAAAAGAGAAAGAAAAGAUAGCCCAUGUUCUCCCAAAGCAAAGAUCAAAGAAGAGGAGAGAUAGCAAUAUGAGGAGCAAUGAGAACUAAGUUUCAUUAUCACUUAUGCAUUUUCACCAUCACUAUCAUUUACUCCAUCACACAUGCACAUCUUGAUUUAAUUAUAUGCUGAGUUCCUUUGGAUCCAUGGCUCGAUUAGACAAUAUAUGUAUGAGCUGUUUUUCACUCCUAUGAGCUCCCCUUAAAUAUUCCAUUAAGCUAUAGGAAAGUGAUAUCAUGGUAAGGAUCCACAAAUACCACAUAUAGAGAGACUUGAGAGAAUCAUUGCUGGGAACUCUGAGUUUUAUUUUGAAAACUUAUGAAAAACUCUGGAACAAAGGUGAAGUAUAAACAGGAGGGAUAGUGCUUGACUUAACUAUUUUGUCUUUCGAUUACUUAAGAUUUAAGUGCAGGUACUAAACUUCAUAACACUUCACUUUAAUCUGGAAGAAUUUUGUAUAAAAGCAUGUGUGCCUGUCAGAAAAGAAAACAUCGAAGCAACUCCUGAUCCGUCUGAGUUUAGCUGUUUGCUCAGGGACGAGCAAAGGGUAAGCUUGGGGGAGUUUGUUGACGGUCCUUAAGUACUAAAAUUAAUAAUCAGAUAAACAUGAAAAAGGAUCAAUAUGAAACAAACAUCUAGAAUUAGGGUUUUAUCUGACAGAAUUCCACGAGCUUUGGUGUUUAUCUAUUUCUGCAGGGGUUUAUCAGAAAAUAUGGAGAGAAGGCCCACAUGUCAUGUUUACAACGAGAUAAUUACGUGUCGCGCAAUUUUCCUCAAUCUAGAAGGAUCCAGAAGCCACGGGAACGAACGGGACGCGAUUCGGGCUCGGGGGCUGGGCGGCCGCCCACCCUCCUUGGGCGCCCGCCCAGGUGGAGAGUCCAAUCAGGACUCUGCUUCGGGACAAUCCUCCACCGACCUAAAGGAUCAAUCUAAACCAUACAAUCUAUGUCGGUUUGAUCCAAUGGCUCACGUUCACUUGAGGGGACUAUAAAACCAGACCCCCUGGCCCCUGGAGGAGAGGAGGAGAAAUCAUUAUUCAGAGGUAGCCAUCAAAGUUAGGGUUUAGAGCUUCUCUCCCACAGAGAAUUAGAAUUAGCUACUCCCUAAUCUUUCAAGUUUAGAGGUUGAUUAGAUAGCAAUUAGAGAAGUAGAGCACUACGCUCUGGAUUCGGAUCUUCGGUAAUAAAGAUUGGUAUUAUUCAUAUCUUUCUCUAAUUCUAUUGUUCUAAUUGCAUUAUGUCUUUAAUUAUUAUGUUCUUAGUUUGCUCUAGUUCUAUAUUUGAUAUAGUUCUAAUUGAUAAUGAGUUUAUGUAUAAGUUUGCAAAGCGCUUAGCUCUUGUCGCGAGGGAGUUAGGUGAUAGAUCACAUGUAAGCGUGGUGCUUAGAUGUUAUUUAUCUGCAAAUGUAUCCUAUUGGCCGAGUCGUGUGGUAGUUCGCGAUAGUGACAGCUUCGUUGAUUCUUAUAUAGUCCACCCUCCGUUGAUAGGACAGGCAGAACCGGUAUUGUGGAGUAAGUCAUGCGAUGUUCUGAUUUACUUUAUCAAUGUUCCUUAUACAUGAAUGAAGAGUCUUUUAUGCUAUAUAUGAUCUUGUAGAUAACUAGAGUAGAUUAUGACUUAGUAGUUAGUAGAUAACUUAGAAUCCAUUCUCUAGCUAAUCCGACAUCACCUACAUAUAUGAGGAGUAGUCUAUUUUCUAAUCGCUGUGCUCUUUAUCCCAUGAACUUACACUUUAUUAUCAUUAUCUUUAUGGUUUACCCCCUGCUAAAGUAUGUGACUGUGUGACGAGUUUCUCAUUAGUAAUCAUGUUCUUGCAAGUUUAUCUCUAGUCUAUGCCUUGAUAGAUUUUGCCCAUUGAUUUAAUUCCAUUUUCCUUAGAUCCCUAAGCAAAAUUAUAAAUAACGAUACCUGGAAUACUUAUCCUGGUGAAAUGCUACAAUGAGGUGUUUUAUCUGUGCGCUUGCGGAUAGAAUAGAUUAUUUUCUAGAGAGCCUUUACAUUUAUAAAUACCUUUGUACACUCUGGCGCCAUGCUAGGGAUGACAACCUAGUAUCUAAGUGGUGUUAGCUAGUGUCAACACCGCCCCAGGCGCCCACGUCCACAUCGGCCCUGGUGUCGACCUCUUCCCAGCCGCUGGCGCAGGGCGUGCCGCGCGCCGUCUUCACACCCGAGCAAACGACAUCCACGAUCGUCGAAAUCAGCCACGGCUUGGCUGAGCUGCGGCUGACGAUGAACACCAUGCUGCAGCUUUACAACAAUUCGACGCCGCAGUUUGGCGCACCGCCGCAGCAGCCGCUCCUGACGCAGUCGUCCCCGUCGGUCGCGUUCCACCACACGGCGCCGGUCUCCUACCCCUACGGGAUGCCCGCCGACGCCGGGUUUUCGACGACAACAGCGUCUACUUCGUCGUCCGUUCCGAUCCACCAGCUCCGUUUUCUGUCAUCGUCGUCCCAGAUCCCGCCAUGGGCGCUGACCUACUCUGGGCCGGUCUACACAUCGGCACCCCAUCGGUUGCACAUGCCCGAUCAUGGCGCACCGUCGGUGUCAGGCACCCCCUACAGCAGCGUGGCGCCCUCGGCUCCACCCUACUAUGACCCCGGCUACGAGGGGUGCCCCUGCAUCUACGCAGGGCAACGGUUCGCCUAAGUUCCACAAGAUCGAGUUCACGACGUACGACGGCUCAGUCGAUCCGCUGAACUGGCUCACGCAAUUUGAGCAAUUUUUUUGGGCCCAACUCACGUCGGCAUCUCAGCGCACCUGGAUGGCGUCCUAUCACCUCACACGUGACGCCCAGACAUGGUACUAUGCCCUCGAGGAGGACGAGGGCCAGCCGCCAUGGGAUCGAUUCAAGGACUUAUGUCGUCUUCGCUUCGGACCGCCCAUUCGUGGUACUCGCUUGGCUGAGCUGGGCCAGCUGCCCUUCCACUCCAUGGUGGAGGAGUUCGCAGGCUAUUUUCAGGCGGUCCUGGCUCACACCCAGGACAUCUCCACCCGCCAGAAGGCGGAGCUCUUCGUCGGAGGACUGCCUAACCACAUCGGCGUGGACGUGGAGAUGCACGACCCUAGCGACCUCCAGACAGCCAUGUACUUGGCACGCGCCUUCGAACGCAAGGCCUUAGCUCUCGCAGCACCAGCACAGCGUGGCGCUCGCCCUCCCUAGCGGCCGAUUGCUUCGGCUCGCCCCACCGCUAGGGGAGGACCUCCAGCCGCGGCGCCCACGCCUACUGCGCUGACACCGACCGACACCGCUACACCCGCCCGCACCUUUCGUCGCUUGACACCGACGGAAAUGCUCAAGCGCCGUCGCCAGGGACUUUGUUACAACUGCGACGAGUAGUAUGUGCGCGGCCACGUCUGCCCACAUGUCUUCUACCUGGAGUCCUCUGACUACAUCGACGACGAUCUAUUCACUGCGACGGAGGACGCCGCAGACGCCACUGUCGAGAGCCCCAUGGCGCCACCAGACGGCGUUGCUGCUCGUGCUCUAGUUGUCUCCGUGUACGCUCUUGCAGGGAUCCACACCUACCACACCAUGCUGCUGGCCAUCACCAUCAAUGGGGAAUGCCUACUCGCGCUACUGGACACUGGCUCCACCCACACCUUCCUCUAGGGCACGGUCAUGUGAAAGCCCUAGUUUGGUUUUGGAUAAUUGAUGAAACCCUAGUACUAAUCUCUAUACUAAGUGUGUGUAGACUUAAUGAGGUUGGUAUAUGCCAAGUGAUGGAGCAAGUGAUGAUCAUGGUAAUGAAGGUGAUGACCACAAGAUGAUCAAGUGCUCAACUUGGAUAAGAAGAAAGAGAAAAACAAAACCCUAUGGAGUUCAAGGCAAAUGUAUUGCUUAGGGUUUUGGUUUUGGUGAUCAAGACACCAUAGAGGGUGUGAUCACAUUUAGAAUAGAUAGCCGUACUAUAAAGAGGGGAAUUCUUUGGCUAAACGGUUAUCAAGUGCCACUAGGUGUCAUUGUUCAUGUGCAUGCAUUUAGAACCUAGUGAGCUAACUUUAACUCCUUCAAAGAAAAUGUUUGUGAAAAUGCUAACACACGUGCACUUGUUGGUUUACACGUUGUGGUGUUGGCACACUUUGAGAAGGAGGUGGAGUUUGAAGAGUAGAGAGAGGAUGGGUUCGGAUUCGGCGCUUUUCGAGAAAAUGAAGUGCAUAUUUUCUAUUGCGCCGGUGGGAAAUUUGGAGAAGUCGUGGGAGUGUUUCUCGCUGAGGAACACUCACCGGACGCUGGCUCAGAGGCACCGGACGCUGUGUCUGAGCGUCCGGUGUGCAGGCUGCCUGACUCGGUUAGGGUUAGGCACCGGACGAUAGGCACCGGACGCAGCUUGGAGCGUCCGGUGGUGCGCGUCCGGUGUGCGGGCGUUUUGCGACCCUCUCUGCACAUGGGUCCGGUGAGCACCGGACGCUAAGGGUGCGUCCGGUGGCUUGCGUCCGGUGACCCUGCGAGUUUGCGGAGCUAUCUGCGCAUGAGUCCGGUGAGCACCGGACGGUCCGGUGCUAACUUGCUCAGCGUCUGGUGCUCUGCAGGUGACCGUUAGACUCUGACACGAGCGUUUCAAAAGGUGACACGUGGCUGACGUUGGAGCACCGGACGCUGGUGCUGAGCGUCCGGUGCCCCUUUAAGAGCGUCCGGUGACCCCGUGUUUUGCCCAGUGAAAGAGCCAACGGCUCUAUUUGUUUGAUGGGCUAUAUAUACGUGUUUGUCCGGCUUGGGGCUCACUCUCUUGGCAUUCUAACAUACUUGACAUCCUUGUGAGCCUAAGCAAACUCCUCCCACUCAUCUCCUUCAUAGAUUAUACAUCUUUGUGAGAUUGGGAGUGAUUCCAAGUGCAUUUGCUUGAGUGAUUGCAUCUAGUGGCACUUGGGGAUCGUUCUAGCUGCAGUUUUCUUGUUACUCUUGGUGGUUGCCGCCACCUAGACGGCUUGGAGCAGCGGAGGAGGAUUGGCACGAGUUGGUGAUUGUUCGUGGCCAUCUCCCGGUGAUUGUGAGGGGUCUUGUACCUUCCCCGGCGGAGAGCCGAAAGGUAACUCUAGUAAAGUGCUCGUGUCAUUGAGUUACCUCACUUGUAGGUAGGUUCUUGUGGUGUUCUAGUGAGGACGAGGUUCGUGCAACACCUCUUAGCCACCGAACCACCAAGUGUUGGUCGACACAACGGGGACGUAGCGUGCCGGCAAGCACGUGAACCUCGGGAGAAAAAUUGUGUGUCUCCAUUGUGAUUGUUCAUUGGAUUUCUCUCGGUGAUUGGACUUCAUAUUAUUGAUUGGUUCAUCCCCUCUACGCGGCGGUAUAAAAAUCAAACUAUCUCUUUUUACAUUCCAGCAAACUAGAGUAGCUUACCUACUUGCAUAGAAACUUUUAGGUAGCUUUCUAGUGUAAGUAGUGACAUAGCUCUUGUGUGCCUAGUGAUUAUAUCAACUAGAAUUGUUGGAUAGGUGGCUUGCAAACACCCCAUUAGAGCUAGAGCAAAAAGCUUCGCUUUGUUAUUAACUAACCUCUUGCUCUAGUGAGUUUGUAGAAUUUUUAAAUAGGCUAUUCACCCCCCCUCUAGCCAUAUUAGGACCUUUCAUCAUGCGCCGCCUGGGGCUUGUUCCGCGUGGCGGCAACAACCUCCGUGUCACUGUCGCGAACGAGGAGCGUUUUCCAUGCAAGGGGAUCGCCUGAGAUGUGCCCGUCCUCAUCGGCGGCGAGUCCUUCCCCGUCACGUGUGUGGGGCUCGCCCUCGGCUGCUUCAACUUCAUCAUCGGCGUGGACUUCCUAGGGGCUUUGGGACCUCUUCUGUGUGACUUCGAGGCCCUCACCGUCUCCUUCUAGCGAGGCGACCAGCGCGUCACGUGGCAGUGCAUGGGUCCCCCAGGUGCUUCUUCACACCAACCGCGCCUGGCGGCGGCCACGGCCGACCAGCAGCGGCCACUGUUGGACUAUACAGCAGCACGUGGCCAUCUUCGACGAGCCUCGUGGUCUCCCGCUCGUGCGCUCCUACGACCACCGCAUCUACCUCCUACCGGGGACCGCGCCGGUGGCGGUGCGGCUCUCUCGAUACCCGCAGCUCUAGAAGGACAAGCUGGAGCGGCAAUGCGCCGCCAUGUUGGAGGAGGGCAUUAUUCGUCCGAGAACGUCACCAUUCUCCACCCCCAUGCUGCUCGUCAAGAAGUCCGAUAGGUCGUGGCGCUUCUGCAUCGACUACCGCGCGCUCAACGACAGGACGUCCAAGGACAAAUUCCUGAUCCUGGUGGUCGACAAGCUCCGCGGGGCACGUUUCUUCACCAAGCUCGACCUCCGCUCGGGCUAUCACCAAGUGCGCAUGCACCCGGCGGACAUCGAGAAGACCGCUUUCCACACCCACCACGGCCACUUCGAGUUCUUGGUGAUGCCGUUUGGGCCCCCAACGCCCCGGCAACGUUCCAAGCCCUGAUGAACGAAGUCCUCCGGCCUUUUCUUCGCAGGUUCGUGCUGGUAUUCUUCGAUGACAUCUUGAUCUACAGCUCAUCGUGGUCCGAGCACCUCCAGCACGUCGUCCUCGUCUUCUCCGCUCUGAGGGCUCACGGCCUCUACCUCAAGAGGUCCAAGUGCUCCUUUGGGGCACUCUCCGUUGACUACCUUAGGCAUGUCAUCUCUACUGACGACGUCGCUAUGGACAACGACAAGGUGGUUGUGGUCGCCGCGUUCACCUCGGGGCGUCUGUGGUUUUCUCGGCCUUGCAGGCUACUACCGCAAGUUCAUCCGUGACUUUGGCUCCAUCGCAGCACCACUCACUCGUCUCCUGCGCAAGGAGGCGUUUGCUUGGACGUCGGAAGCGGCAGCGGCCUUCGACACCAUCAAGAGGGCCUUGUCAUCAGCCCCUGUUUUGCAGAUGCCGGAUUUCACUCGCGAGUUCGUCGUCGACUGCGGCGCCUCAGGCACAGGCUUUGGCGCUGUUCUCCACCAGGGGUCGGGUCCCCUGGCGUUCUUCAGCAGACCCUUCGUCGCCCGCCACGUCAAGCUCGCGGCCUACGAGCGUGAGCUCAUCGAGCUAGUGCAGGCGGUCCGGCAUUGGCGGUCGUACCUAUGGGGACGCCGUUUCCUCGUCCGCACCGACCACUACAGCUUGAAGUUUCUGCUCGACCAGCGCCUUUCCAUUGUUCCGCAACACCAGUGGGUUAGCAAGCUGCUCGGGUUUGACUUCGCGGUGGAAUACCGCCCCGGCCGACUCAACUCGGUGGCGGAUGCGCUGUCCCGACGCGACGAGGAUGCAGUUGUAGCGCUCGCCUUGUCCAGGCUGUCCUUCGCCCUCUACGAUGACAUUCAGGCAGCCACUCAGGUGGACCCGGUGGCACGCGGCCUCCUGCAGCAGCAGGCCGCUGGGACGCUGGUGGCGUCCUGGACCAUCACGGAUGGCUUUCUCCUUCAUGGGAAACGCGUCUACGUUCCUGACCUGCAGGACUUGCGCCAUCAGGUGGUGACCCUGGCACACACUACAGGGCAUGAUGGUGUCCAGAAGACCCUUGUGCGUCUGCGCAGUGAUUUCUACAUCCCCGGUGACCGCAAGCUUGUGCAAGACUAUGUCCGCACGUGUGGUGUGUGCCAGCGCAACAAGACGCCCACGACACAGUUGGCCGGUUUACUACAGCCCCUGGAUGUGCCUUCCCAAGUUUGGGCCGACAUCUCCAUGGAUUUCAUCGACGCCCUUCCCAAGGUCCAUGGCAAGUCGGUCAUCUUGACGGUGGUGGAUCGCUUCUCCAAGUACGCGCACUUCAUCGCUCUCAGCCACCCCUACACGGCCGCGUCAGUGGCCCGUGCUUUCUUCGAGGGGAUUGUGCGGCUUCAUGGCUUUCCCACCUCCAUUGUCAGCGACCGCGAUCCGGUUUUCACCAGCCACUUGUGGAGGGAUUUGUUUCGCCUUACAAGUGUGAAACAGCGGCUCAGCACGGCCUUUCACCCUCAGAUGGACGGCCAGUCUGAGGUUGUCAACAAGGUGAUCGCCAUGUACUUGCGUUGUGCGACCGACGACCGGCCGCGCUCAUGGGUCGACUGGCUACCGUGGGCAGAAUACUGCUACAACACGUCGUACCACAUGGCACUUUGCGUGACUCCAUUCGAGAUUGUCUACGGCCGCCCACCACCUCUCCUUUUGCCCCACCAAGAGGGGGCGGCUGAGACGGAGGAUGCAGACGUCAUGCUCCGGGACCGCGACGCAUUCCUGGUCGAGGUCCGGGAGCGCCUCCUCCAGGCACAGCAACACGCCAAGGAGCGCUACGACGAGCACCAUCGGGAUGUGGACUUUGCUGUGGGCGAUUGGGUGCUGCUCCAACUUCUUCACGCCCCACACACACACGCUCGCGACGCCGGCCAAGGGCAAGCUUCGUCCUCGCUAUGUUGGUCCGUUCCGUGUGCUAGAACGCAUUGGGUCGGUGGCCUAUCGUCUACAGCUGCCCGAGACUACACGCCUCCAUGAUGUUUUCCACAUCGGGCUGCUCAAGCACUGGAGUGGUGACCCUCCUGUGACGCCGGCGGUGGUGCCACCAGGCUUCGAGGGGCGCCUGCUUCCUACCCCGGAGAAGGUUGUGCGCGCGCAGCUACGCCGUGGACAGUGGCAGCUGUUGGUCAAAUGGCGCGGCCUUCCGGAUGAUGCUGCGACAUGGGAAGCUCUCGACGACUUCAAAGCCCUAUACCCCGAUGUCCAGCUCAAGGACGAGCUGUUUGUCGACGCGAGGAGAGAUGUUAUGACCGGCGUCUAGUAUCAAAGGAGGCGCCGGCCCAUUAGUGGCUAAAGCUACCAUCGGCCAGGGGUUUAGGCACAGGAGUUAGAGGCUAACAGCCCAUAUUUAUCUUUAUUUGUUUAUUUCCAUAAUUUAAGUAAUUAUUCAUAUAUAGGAGUUGUAAUUCUUGUGGACAGAAUUAAGCAAGAGUAAAUCUUAUUACUCGGCUUCCCUUGGGAGCCGGAAGUUUGCCCUAGCCGUCGCCUCCGUUCUCUUCUUCCUCGCACGACCACGGCGCCCCGCCGCCGUGCCACGCACCCAGCCCCCCAACACACAUACAACCUUCGCUCGACCAAGGGAAGGGUACAGGUCCGUAUCAGAUUCUUUGCUUGCAAUUCCUAAAUGUGGAUCGUGAUUUACUUGACAUUCCAAAAACACGUGUCAUGACUUAUGAAUACUGCAGAUCUCUAGUUGUAGUCUCAGUCUAGUGUACUGUCAUCUCAGGAAUUCUGUGUUACUGGAAACGUUGAACUAAACCCCUGCACCUCUUUUCCAUCUUGCGUCAUGCAUGCUUGUGUAUCCCUGAAAAAUCUUUGAGCAACUUCAGGUCUACACAUCAAACUGAUACACUUUCACAAUAUGUAUGCAGCUGAAGAAAUGUGCAGGGAGGGCGCAUACUGGGGUAACUAAUUGACCGAUUUGUGCCUUUUUGUCGCUUCAAACCCACAUAAUUUGUUUUGGCUUCUUUCCCUUCUUCAUUUAUACUCUGACUAAUGUACAAUAGUAUAAAUGUGUGAUAUUAUUGUACUGUCGUGUAAGAUGCUAUUAGUCAUAUUAUUGUAAGGCAAGCACUUCAAAGUUUUGUGGAGCUACUUCUCAUAUGCAAUGAGGUGGUUGUAUGGGGCAACAGAGAAAGUUACAUAGAAAAUGACAAACCCUUUCACGACACAUAGUCAUACCAUAUUUAUUUUACUUUGAGCCAAUGGUGAAUUCAUGAAUCUCGAGAUAUGUCGGCUCAGUACUUCAAAGGUGCUCUUAGGGGUAGGGUUUGUGUAAAUUUGCUCAUAGGGAUGAGUAUGCGUACGUAUUGUGAGCAUCUGUGUUGUAGUGUGUAAUUCUAAAAAAAAGGACUGAGCUAGUGAAAAUGAUCUUUACCUCCAUGGAUCUUAUUUCUGGGUUCCCCCUGUUUUUACUGUAACUUUUACAUGUUGCUCUGGACACAUCCAAAGUGAUUGCGUUACUCUUGGAUGCAUAUUCAGGCUUGACACCAACACAGUGAUCCAUCACUUACUAUGGGCCGUAGUCAGGGACCAAGUAGACCUGUUAAACAUGUUUACAUAGCAAUGAUAGUGUUUUUGAAAUUUUCUAGUUUUUUUUUAAAUCUAUUUUUCUAGAGCUAAAUUUAUUUUUUGAAGCGGAGAUCUAAGUAUAUUAUGUAGAUUUUUCUAUACUAUUCUGUCUCUAUAAUCUUUUUUAAGAAUUAAAUGCUUAGAGACAUCUUCUGUGGUACCAAUUUUUUAACUAAAAAGGAUAAACCCAAUUUUAUCUCUCUGACGCCAUGUUAACUAUUGCUGUCCAAAACCAUCCAUAGUGGAAACAAACAAUUUUAAAAGUUAAGGAGACCUAAAAAUCUGAUCUUAAAAAAAAAUAUAAAGCAAAAACUCACUAGCCUAUUUUUCUUAUUCCACAGCCCUCCACAUCAUCGUUCCCUCCUCAGUUAUUGUCCGUUCGAUUUCAUCAGCUAGUGUCUACCGUGCAUACCAAACAGGCAACAUCAAUAUACUACUCCUACGUUCACAGUAGAGUUUAGGUGCUUCUUCUAUGAACUGCCCCAUCCGUUCCAAGAUGACAGAAGCCAAUGAUCAAGACUCAAGAGGCGGAUCCUUUUCUGCACAAUUCUACAGCAGCUGGCAGCCAGGCAUAAUCACAAACUUUUGUCAUCCAGUUUCAAAGCUUCCUCUCAAUUCUUGCUGAAUCCCAUCCUAUACAAUUUUGUUAAUUUUUAAGUAAAACGAAUUAUUUUUAAUUUUUUACUUGCUAUUUAUCCAGUGUUUCUUUUAGUUUUUGCUGACAUGAACCUCUGACAUACAUCAUAUACAUUGUAUAGUAACUAAAUAGUAUUUUUUUUUUCUCUCAGGCUCUUUAUCCUGUUUGAUGAGAAACAUCAUCUCGAUUUCUACUUGCUCUCAACUGUUGGUGUCCCACAUCCCUAUAUGAGUUUUUUUUGUAGAAUGUAUGGGUCGAUCCCGUUGCAGUUGCGUGAUGUACGUACACAUGCUAUUGUGCAAAUUAUAAAUAAUGUCUUUCGCACUUCCUACCCUAAUGCAUUUGUCGUUCACAAAAUAUCAUUUCUUAAACUCCUGCAGCAACCCGUAAGGUAUUCAUCUAGUUCUAUAAAAAAAGGGAUCGUACAAUCUUUGUCAAAAUUAAAAUAUACAUGCAAACCACAUGUGCCACUUCAUAAAACAACUACGACAUCAAAGACAUCAAAUAUAUUUAACUCUAUACGCAUGUGCGUUUGAUAUUUCAGUUCCCUAGCUACCGGCGCCAUUUUAGCGGGCCACCUUGCUAGUUACAUAUGAAUGUAGGUUGAUGGACAUGAUAAUAUAACUAAUAAUACAAUGCAUCGGUAAUAGUCUUACAGGCAGCAGAAUGUACCAACGGUUGCAUUUGCCGUAUUCACGCAUAGAUUUCCACACAAGGAAUGUGACUGACAAGGUGCCAGUCGGGCCCUUCCCCUCGCUUGUAACGCUCCGCCAAACCAGGGCAACCACUAAUGACCAAUCUCUCAAGAGCGGUUAGGCGUUGUAUGGAUUGGGGCAAGUAUUGAAGGGCAGGGAAAUGCUGGGUAUAAAGCGAACGAAGCGCAGAGAGUUGUCCAAUCCACUCCGGCAGCACCGUCAGUGCAGGACCUGAUGACAGGUCGAGAUGUUCAAGCGAGGUGAGGUUCCGCAUGCUCUCUGGUAACUGUGUCAGGUCAUUGCACGUGUCAAUAUACAACUCUUUCAGCUCAGUGAGGUGCUGCAGCAGUUCCCAGCCAGAUGAUGAUCCUGUAACUUCGCUUAGCCAUAGACUCUUGAGGCGAGGGACCAACGCAUGCAUGCUGGGCAGCUGAUGGGAGAACCUUCCAGUGGAUAGCAACUGCCCAUUGGUUCUGCCUAAAGUCAUACGCUCCAACGAUGGUGGAAAGUAGGGGCUCACAUUUAAUUUUGGGCAGCCAUAUAUGUGUAGACUGGACAGGACAGGGAAAAGAUGUUGUGCUGCCAAUUCUUUCUCCCCAGUUUCAAAACCACUUGAUGUAGUCCACAGCUCCUCUAAAUUAGGCAUUUCCAACAGCUCAAGGGUCUUCAGUGAAGGCAACUCAACAAAUCCUCUCAUAUGCCUCAAGUUUGGAAAUCUUACUAGCGUUAACAAAGUUAAACAAAGGAAAUGGGAUGCGAUAGUUUGCUUCAGCAUUAUGCCACCUUCACAAUAUGAAGAAUCAUUUUGCUUCAUCAUCCAUCCUGGCAGGCAGGGGCCUCUGUAACCAUAGAUAUCCAACCUCUCAAUUUGCGAUGGUGGUUCAAGAGCGUUCAGCACACCCCAAUCAUGUUCCAUAUCUGACACCAGCUCUUCUUCGGCAUCACUUAAAGACCAGUUCAGCUCCAAGCGUUGCAUGUGACUCUUCCGCUUCAAGCAAGCCUUCUCUGCUUCACUUGGAUCCUUCAAAUACUUAAGGUUGGUAAUUUCCAAGUGACCACCUAUCAUAUCAAGGUUUUCUAGCUCUGAGAUCCUCGCAUCAUCUGCACCACACCCAACAACAAACAAUCCCAGCUUUCUUAAACGGGUCAGCUGUCCCAACCCUGAUGGUAAGCAGCACAGUUUACUACAACGCUCUAUGUUCAAAACUGUGAGCCUUUUCAAGUUUGCUAUGCCCUUAGGCAACUCCCGUAGCUCAUUGCAUCCCUUAAGGUCAAUACAUUCCAGAGUAUCAAUCGAUGUAACCCAUUGAGGUAGCAUGGUAACUUUGGUUUCAGAAAGGUUCAGAGUACGCAAUGUAGGACAGGAUAAUGUGCUUGGCAGGUCUUGCAAACCCGUACAACCAUUAAAGUCAAGUACACAUAGGUUUCCAAUUCUACCUAAAGAGCUUGGUAUCUCUCGUUGUUUUCUGCACUUAUAUAGUUGCAAGCACUGAAGAACAUAACAGUCACCGAUGGACUGAGGCAAACUCUCAAGAUCAGUAAUCCGAUGCAACUCUAGAGUCCUUAGCUUCCGAAGCUUUCCAACAGACUCAGGUAAUGUCACGAAACCUUUGCAGUUAACAAAAUGGAGUGACUGCAAGUUCCAACACCUCGAGAUAGCUUCCGGAACUGUUGUACAACUAACAUUAUGGAUUUCAAGAUACCCAAGAUACUCAAACUUUAAUAUGAAUAGUGAAAACGGAGUAUCAAUUGCAUAGUCCAAAACAACACUGCGCAUACAGCAACUACUCUUCACUGUGGUAUCAAAAGAUGUCUUACUGUCAGAGAUAUAUAGAGCACGGACCUUGUCAAAUACGCCCUUGUCAACAUUCUCAGUGAAUGAAGUCAAAGAUAAAUAUCUAUACCUAUGAGUAAAUUCUUCUGUUGUAUGAAUUGGUACACAAGUCACCAGUUCAUCCUUUAGUAUCUGUCGAGUGAGAUCAUGGAUCAAAUCAUGCAUGUUGUAUAUAUCAGUAUUCCUGCUCCCAUAAGCUUCCUGAAGAAAUCUGACUUUUACAAGAGAAUCUAAGUAGUCUCUUCCGACAUCUUCGAGUUGCUCUCCAUUCAUUGCAUUGAUGAAUCCAUGAGCUAUCCACUGGGCAAUCAAACGAUCUUUCUGGAUUCCAUAGCCCUUCGGGAAUAUGGAGCAAAACGUAAAGCACUGCUUCAGUUCAUCUGCCAAGUGAAUAUAGCUCAACUUCAAGGAUGCAAACACUCUGUCUUUUAUACUCUGAACCUUCCAUAAAUUAUUCUCUCGUAUGGCCCUCCACGUACUUAUUUGCUUCUUGUCACAAAGGACUGCUCCAAGAGUCUGAAUUGCUAACGGCACCCCACCACAUCCCUUGAUAAUCUCUUUUCCGACUUGUACCUCAUCGCAGCUCAAAUCUUGCUCUGCCAACCCAGAACCCUUCAGGAAUAAGUUCCAACUCUCAGACUCUGAUAAGAAUGCCAACUCAAAUGUAUAUCUUGAUUCCACAGCUUGUGCAACCUUUCGAUCACGAGUGGUUAACACAAUCCUUGUUUCAGGUGCGCCACAUUUUAGCUGCACCAUGAACUGUUCCCAGUCAUGUCUGUCCUCAUGCCAAGCAUCAUCAAGGAUAAGAAGAAACUUCUUAUUGCUCAACUUCUCGGAGAUUUUUUGGACCAUGUGCUGUGGGGGAUGACGAUCUGAAUUAUCUCCAACAAUCGUUUCAAAUAGCUUGCCGAUUAGCUUCUGAACAUCAAACUCUUGAGACACAUGGACCCAGAAUAUUUCACCUCCAAAGUGCUCCUUUAUCUUGACGUCAUGGCAAAUGUGUUUGGCCAAAGUAGUUUUGCCUGACCCCCCUAAUCCGAUGAUAGAAACUAUCAUGUUGUUCUCUCCAGCAUUACAUUCUACAAGCUUAGAUAUGAUUUCAUCCUUUUCUUGAUCCCUAAGGGGUAUUUUGGACUCUGGAACCUUGCUCAACCAGGUCAUCUCUCCAACUGUCUUGUACCUAGUACCAACAUGUUGAUCCCUUGUUGGAACUAAAGUAUUGAAAUCACUUCUUUGCUUGACGAUUGCAGCAAAUCUAACCUUGAUUGCCUUGAUCUUAUGAGCCAUCUUGUAUCGGAAUGCAAAUGACUUUGGUUUUGCACAGAAGCAAGCAGCUAUACCACUCUUGUCAUCAUCUCUUUCCAUCUUCUGUUUCUCAGCUUCUAGCUGGACUUCUUGUAGUAUAUCGUCAAUGUCAUAAGCCACAUCUUUCAAUUUUACCACCCAGUGAGACUGUGUCUCACUCUGUAUUGCUCUGUCAUGCACUGCCGACAGCCAGCCUGUAAUGUCUGCGUGUAUAUCCUGGAGCUGGCAGAGAUCUCUUUUUACACCGGUUAUGGCAGCAAACUCAGUGGCUAACAGUGAAACUAGCUUGUCGCCUGCAGCCUUCAACACUCCAGAUGCUAAAGCAGCCUCCAUCCCACUCAUUAUGUCAAAGAAACUGUUGCCUAAACCCCUGCAGAUGAAAUUGAAAAACAAGCGGUUAGAUUGAGUUUCGCAAAUCCAAAACUAGUUAGGUGGCAACAGUAAUGUUUCUUAGGAAAAAUAACUUUUUAGGAAAUGUGGCGGCAGAAAUGUUCCAAUAAUAAUUCUCAACUCUGGAAUAAAUUAACGGCCGACAAAAUAUCUGAGAGUUACAGGUCACACCGCCGCCGCCGCCCGGUCCAGACGCAGCGGCCAUGUCCUCUCUCUAGCGCGAGGCCAGCUGCAGCACCCUGCUGCCAUGCAGCCUGCCCUAGGGGGCUGUUGUUCUUCCCAUCUAAUCCCCUCUGACUGCCCCAAUUGUACCCUCUAAUUAAGUGAAGUCACCCCAGAUGGGACAUGUACAACAUGAGUGGUUUGCAGAUUAUGUAUUUCGAACUGAAUGGACAAAUAUUGUCUGUAUCGGCUAAAUAUCUUAUAUGGAUAACACAGAAAGUCGUUUGGAUGCAGGAAAAUAGAUCUAGUAGACCGAUCGGCGUGAAAACAAAAUGGAAAAUUAAUUUGCAUACCAGGUGAAGGAGGACACAGCAGCAGCAGCAGCAGCAGCAGAGCAACGACAGUAUGACACUUUGAUGCCACCAGAUGAGGGGCCUUUUGUUCUUCUUCUUGUGAAAGAGGUGAAGGGAAUCAGUAUGCUUGACGCUCACUGGGAUUGACACCAAAAAAAAAGUAUGAGUUGGUCAUCGAAGAAAUGACCAGGGGAGAUUGUGCGUGUUGCUUAAACCAAAGCAGAUUAAGUACCUAAACUCAACAACUGCGGCGAGGCUACAACCCAACGAGAAAGAGGAAAUGGAAUUUCGGUGCUUCAGCUUCACUCGAGGAUGCAGAGAAACCUGCAGAUCUGAAAGGCAGGUAGGUGAUGAAGAAAAUGAGCAGGUGGUUGAACCCAACGAGAAGGAGAAACAGGAUUCAGGCAAAGAUCAUCCUGAUUACCUCGGUCGCGUCGGCGGCGGCGGCGACGACGAGAGGCCUCCCGCCCCUAGUCGGGUUGUGCGCGGAGGUCGAUGGUCAGUGAACUCACUGCUCACAUCUCACGCGCAUGGAGACUCCGCGGAGACGAACGAAGAGAGGAAAGCAAUCGAUUGCGACUGAGCACCGGACGAUGCCUGCUUUGAGUGAGAGCAUGAUUGCUUUUCGCCUCAGAAAGCGCGUGGCAAGAGCAUCCACUACAGUGGAUCCAGAAAAUCCAUCCUCUUCCCUACAAACUGUGAGGCUCACAAACUGUUAGGCCUUAUCUUGUUUAGUUCCAAAAUUUUUUAUAAAAUAGAUACUAUAGUAUUUUUUAUAUUUAAUAAAUAUUGUUCGGUCAUGGACUAAGGUUCUGUUUAGAUUGGAGAUAAAAAAUUUUGAUAUCACAUCAGAUAUGUUGGAAGGAUGUUGGGAGGGGUUUAAUAAAAAAACAAAUUACAUAGCUCGUCCGGAAACUGCAAGACAAAUCUAUUAAGCAUAAUUAAUCUGUCAUUAGCACCUGUGGGUUACUGUAGCACUUAAGGCUAAUCAUGCACUAACUAGGCUUAAAAGAUUCAUCUCGUGAUUUUCAACCGAACUCUGUAAUUAGUUUAUUUUUUUAUUUACAUUUAAUGUUCCAUGCAUGUGUCCAAAGAUUCGAUGGGAUGGAUGAAAAUUUUUUAGGUGGAAAACUAAAUAGGGCCUAACUAAACUCAAAAGAUUCGUCUCAUAAAUUACAAAUAAACUGUGCAUUUAGUUAUUUUUUAUCUAUAUUUAGUGCUUCAUGCAUGUACCACAAGAUUCGAUGUGACAGGAAUCUAUAGUUCACUAAAAAAACCAAAAACUUUUCAAGAUUCCCAGUCACAUCGAAUCUUGUAGAACAUUAAAUAUAGAUAAAAAUAAUUAACUAUACAAUUUAGUUGUAAUUUACGAAACGAAUCUUUUGAUCCUAAUUAGUCCAUAGUUGGACAAUAAUUGCCAAAUAAAAAUGAAAGUAUUAUAGUACCUACAAACUUUUCAGCUCCUCAACUAAACAGCCUUACAAAUAAUAAAAGGGGUUAAUUAAGGAAGAAAAAUAAGCUCUAACAUAUUCUCUUUCUAGUACUCUUUCUUGAUCUUUUUUUUCAAUCUCCCAAAAUCUUCCUCUCCCUUAAACUUUCCAUCAGUGUGAUUGAUCCACGAAAAAAAUCCAUGUGAACUGCAAAAGGAUGUUGUGGCAGAGUUUAGAAUCAAGCAGAGCUUAUAAACAGAUUUUAAUUCAUGGAUCAGCAGCCUAAGUUUGGACUCUUGACCGGAGACUCUAUAAUUUUCUUUUCUCUCUUUUGGUAUGCCUUGAGGCCCCUUCUUAGGCCUUGUUUAGUUCACACAAAAAACCAAAAACUUUUCAAGAUUCUCCGUCGCAUCAAAUCUUGUGGCAUAUGCAUGGAGCAUUAAAUAUAGAUGAAAACAAAAACUAUUUAUACAGUUUGCCUAAAUUGCAAAACGAAUAUUUUAAGCCUAGUUACUCUAUGCAUGAUUAGAUAAUAUUUGUUAAAUAAAAAUGAAAGUGCUACAAUAUCAAAAUAAAAAAAUAGAUCUAAAUAAGGCCUUACUUUUGCACUUUUUUGUCUCUUUUUUUAAACUUUUUUAUUUCAAUAAAAUCCCUAUAGGGGCUGAGACUCCUCCGGUUUCUAAAAAAACCCAAAUAAAUCUUGCUUAUUUUUCAAACCUAGCUUCUAAUUACGUCAACUCAAUUUUAUACUUUCAAAGUUAUCUCAUAGACAACUGAAAAGAAUUAAAGAUAGCAAAAUACUUCAAAUCCUUACAUUAUACUUUAUUUAGUGACAAUAGCUAGUUCAUCAAUUGUUCAUCAAAUGUGCAUCUGGUUAGGCCUUGUUUAGUUUAUCCCAAAAACAAAAAAAACUUUUCAAAAUUUCCUGUCACAUCGAAUCAUGCGGCACAUGCAUGGAGCAUUAAAUAUAGAUGAAAACAAAAACUAAUUACACAGUUUGCAUGUAAAUCGCAGGACGAAUCUUUUAAACCUAGUUACUCCAUGAUUGGAUAAUGUUUGUCAAAUAAGGCCUUAUUUAGUUUCCAAAAAAUUUUGCAAAAUUUUUUAGAUUCCCCGUCACAUCGAAUCUUUAUACACAUACAUGGAGUAUUAAAUAUAGACGAAAAUAAAAAACUAAUUGCACAGUUUGGUAGAAAUUGACAAGACGAAUCUUUUGAGCCUAGUUAGUCCAUAAUUGGACAAUAUUUGUCAAAUACAAACGAAAGUGCUACAGUGUCGAUUUCUCAAAAAAUUUUAGAACUAAAAAAGGCCUAAAAACGAAAAUGCUAUAGUGCCAAAAUCCAAAAUUUGAUCUAAGCAAGACCUUAGUCUCACCAACUAUCUUUUAUUACUCUUAAUUUAUCAUAUUAUUCCUUAAUAUAUUUUUUAAAAUACACUAAUAUCAAUUAAUACAUGCUAGUCGUGCACUGAUAAUGUCAUUAUCUAGAUAACUACUGUCAACCGACAGCCUGGCUCCGGAGAAGAACCCAAAAAAAAAACUACUCCCUCCGUUAUAAGGUUUGAUUUUUUUUACCUCAAGUUUGACCACUCGUUUUAUUCAAAAAAAUUAUAUAAAAAUAGUUAAAUUUAAGUUAUUUUUGAAGAACUUUUAUUAAUAAAUAAAGCUAUGAUAAAAAAAAUGAUAUUUUGUAUAAAUUUUUGAAUAAGAUGAGUGGUCAAAUUUGGUGUUAAAAAGAUCAAACGUCUUAUAAUUUAGAAUGAAUUGAGUAUUACUUAUCUUAGAAGUCAAGCUAAUGGAGGGACUUUUUUGCAUGAGCAGAGAGAUAGACCCAAAGUGCCAUACAACUAUACAAGCGACCUAUCAUCGUAAACAUGUAUCCCAUGGGUCUGACCAGAGUAUACGCCGCACCAAUCAAUAACGACCCAUGUGUCUCGAUCAAACUUAAGCACUUUCGUUUCGUUUAUAUUUGAUGAUUAUCGUCAAAUCAUAGACUAACUAAAAUCAAAAGAUUUGUUUUAUAAAUUAUAAAUAAACUGUGCAAUUAGUUAUUUUUAUUUAUAUUUAAUGUUUUAUGCAUGCGCCGUAAAAUUUAAUGUGGUGAAGAAUAUUGAAAAGUUUUUUUUAUUUUGGAUAGAACUAAAUAAGGCCUUAACUGUUGGAUAUUAUGUGGGUGUUUGGCCCAUAUUCUAUUUAAUGAUUAAUUCAAGGGCCCAUAAUAAAUGCUAUAAUGAAAACGGUUUAAUACCGGAUUGAUUGUUGUUGACUAUGUGUUAACUCAACUUAAAUAGUCGGUCUUUAAUAGCUCCUAUAGAGAAGUUGAGGAAGGAAAAUAGAGUGCCGCGUGGGCGCCGCCGCCGCCGCCGAGCUGAGUCGUGCGAGUACGUUUAUGCCUGGUGAAUAAGGAAAGAGAGGAGAAUCGGAAUCUGACCGUUGUCUAGUUAAAGGCAAUUAACUGUGAUUAAUUGCAAUUAACUCUAGCGUUUUCUCUCUGGCCUAUAUAUUCCUUUUCCGUAUCAUUAUUUCCCUCUGCAAGACACAACACAUCAGUCCUCUCUCAUCUCUUCCUGUCGAGUUGCUCUCUGGUUCAUUCUCGUCCCGAACCUCUGCGUGCACAGAGAUCGGGAGAGCAGGCCUCUGAAACCCGACGCCUUGCAUCGAGACACCUACCCAGGUGUGGAGAUCGGCUUCUUCCUGCUACAUCGGAUUGGCGACAUCGACUACUUUCUGCUAUCUUGGAUCGGCUUCUUCUCGGUGGUCACGCGAGAUCAUCUACAUCGUCCUCUUCCUGGUGGACGUUCGCGGGACUGCACUACGAACAUCCUUCCUGCAUCGACUGUGGCCCGCUACUUCAAGCAACGCACUAUGUCGACUAGUGCGAAUGGAGCCGCCGGUGCCUUCGGCACUGGUCCCUCCUCUGGGUACAAUUCUAAAUGAUUAUAUUAUAUUUUCAGUAUGUCUACAGUAUUUGCAAUGUUUAUCUCUAAUCUGAGUAGCGAUAAAAUCGUACAUAUACACCUAUAUGCCACCAUAUUUUUAUGUGUAUUUUUUAGAUUAAAUCAAAUAUUAAAAUGUCUAAAUUUCUAACAUUAACAAAUUCUGGAUCCAAACAACGCUCAGUUCGAACUCAUCUGGCAGGAGGAUGGUGUACUAGCAGCUGAUGAUGAGUAGUGGGAUCCUAACGUGGGUGGUGUCCUACUGUCCUGCCAAAACAUAGCUUGCACGUAGGCGUGCUCAUUCUGGGCCGUCCAUUCCAUGCUUGCACUUGCACGGACCACACGCGACGCGAUCCCUCGUUUAAUUUGUUCGCGAUCGUUCAAUUCGUUCGUGUCCCUGGCGCUGGCGGCCUGAUGAUGAUCCAACAGCAGUGCCAGUACAGCACACCAACGCCAACGUACGCCGAGGAAGAAGACCAAUCCAUCCAUAGAGUCGCAUCGCACGCACGGGCCUCACGAGAGGCGAGACGAUGACCUGUGGCCCCUCGUAGCAGUGGCAAACCAGGGGGCAGGGGUGAAUAGGCCGUGUGGGGAUUGCACGCCGCCGAUUUCGUGUCCUUGGAGCCACCGUCCAAUCUCCGCUUCUUUAUCUUCUCCGAGGUGAGAGCAGGCAGCCCAGGCGAUCCUCCUUCUCAGUUCUCAGUUCUCACAGUCUCACACUGUCUCACAGCUGACCUGCCACUGCCAGGAAGGUAGGGAGAGGCCAGGAUGCCCCGCGGCGGCUUCUCGGGGUCACUCAGGUCGCCCAAGAUCGACGUCGUCAUCGACAUGGGGA